GUUUCAUUUGAAAUUUUUAUAGAAUUUUAUUUUUUAGUUAAAAAGCUAAAAUUUAAUCAAAAGACGAGAAGACCCUAUAAAUCUUUAUUAUUUAUUUAUUUUUAAUUUUUAUUUGAAUAUUUUGAUUAUUAGUAAUUUUAUAAUUUUAUUGGGGUGAUAUUAAAAUUUAAUGAACUUUUAAUUUUUUUUAUCAUUUAUUUAUGAUUAAUUGAUCCUUUAUUAAAGAUUAAAAAUUUAAGUUACUUUAGGGAUAACAGCGUAAUUUUUUUGGAGAGUUCUUAUCGAUAAAAAAGUUUGCGACCUCGAUGUUGGAUUAAGAUUAAUAUUUAAAUGCAGAAGUUUAAAUAUAAAGUCUGUUCGACUUUUUAUUCUUACAUGAUCUGAGUUCAGACCGGCGUAAGCCAGGUUGGUUUCUAUCUUUGAUUAUUUAUAAUAUUUUAGUACGAAAGGAAUUAAUAUUAAUUUUUAAAAAAUUUUUUUAUGAAU
rnacentral:rRNA from 1 species